CUUAAGCUAAAGAUUUUUUUAAAGAUGGCAAAAAUUGCAUUGAAGGGUUUAUUCUGCUUUCUAUCAUUAUUUUCUUGCACUCAGUGCAGUGUUGUCUUAACUCCAACAUCUUCUACUGUGACAGUGAAGCCGGGAAGUUCUUUUACACUGACAUGCACCGUCUCUGGUUAUUCUCUGACUGAUAGCAGCUAUGCCUCCAAUUGGAUUCGACAGUUCCCUGGAAAGACAAUGGAGUGGCUUGGUAUUAUUUGGUACGAUGCAAGCACAAAGUACCAUGACUCAGUUAAGGACCGGAUCACUAUUAGCAAAUCUGGUAACUCAUUAUCCUUACAAGUGAGGAGUCUAACAACUGCAGACACAGCUGUCUAUUAUUGUGCACGAAGAUCACAAUGA